rnacentral:rRNA from 1 species
CCUACGGGAGGCAGCAGUGGGGAAUAUUGCGCAAUGGGCGAAAGCCUGACGCAGCGACGCCGCGUGAGGGAUGAAGGUCUUCGGAUCGUAAACCUCUGUCAGCAGGGAAGAACGGUCACUGUGCUAAUCAGCAGUGAAUUGACGGUACCUGCAAAGGAAGCACCGGCUAACUCCGUGCCAGCAGCCGCGGUAGUACGGAGGGUGCGAGCGUUAAUCGGAUUUACUGGGCGGAAAGCGCGCGUAGGCGGUAUGUCAAGUAAAGGGUGAAGUCCCCGCGCGCAACGUGGGAACUGCCUUUGAAACUGGCAAACUGGAGUGUGUGAGAGGAUAGUGGAAUUCCAGGUGUAGGAGUGAAAUCCGUAGAUAUCUGGAGGAACAUCAGUGGCGAAGGCGACUAUCUGGCACAUAACUGACGCUGAGGAGCGAAAGCGUGGGUAGCAAACAGGAUUAGAUACCCCUGUAGUC